AUGGAGUUGAUGAUUCUUAAGCUACAAUUAUAUUGUAAACUGCUAUGCCUUAUUUAUUCAGUGGGAGAUUACUUUUUGUCCAUCUUUUUAUUGCCAUUAUUUAUCAUCAAGUACCAUGGGAUGGCUAUUUUAAGAGUGGAGGAGGACAACCCUUUGCAGAACAAGAAUGAGAUGGCAACCCUGUCAGGAAUUAAUCAAAAGGAAGUGAAGAAAAAUGGGGUUUCUCUCAAGAAAAUGGAAGUUCCACAAGCAGAUUCCAGCAUUCCGGUCCAGAGACUUUCCUUUCCAAAUAUAUGCACACCAGAUUUGAAAGGUCUCUUGCAUUUUGAAGAAAACACCCAGAAGAUGUAUCAAUGUGAUGGUAGUUCUUGGGCCUUAUGGAGUUAUGCAAACAAGGUGACAAUCUGCUCUUCUUUGAGCAUGGGUAUUUAAAAUGUCUUCAAAAAACCAAUGUGGUAGAUGUUUGUUUUCAAACGUGUCAGUUUCUAACAAAGGUCUACACCUUUGCUAAAAACUGACAGGUUUGAAACUGUUGGAUUAUACAGGCAGACAGAAUGUUGAGACAUAAACUGACUUAAUGGCUCUGUUUGGUCAUAGUUCAGCCAUCCAUCUGUCUCAUUCUGGUUCUCUGGCACUGCCUCCAGAGAAGAAUUACUUGUUUUAAUUACUUGAAUUAAUUAUACUUUGGUAGAGUUACUUGCUACCUAGAAUGCAUUGUUCAACAGUAUUAUUUGUUUAGCACAGCAAAGAGAAAGGUGGAAAAUGGACUGAUCACUAGGCUUGUGCAUUUCGGGUGAAUUGCUAUCAAUUUCUGCUUGUCUGAUACCAGAAGCCCCCCUCCCAUAUUUGUUUUUCAGCCUCUCCCUAAAGCGGGCAUGUUGCCGAAUGGGCGUUUUCAUUUUGCAUCUGGAAAAAAAUGGUUCUUUUCGGCCCAUUGGCAGCAAUUGAGAACUUCCCUUUUCCCUUGGAGCCUUUCCUUUCUUCCCUUCAAGGGAUCCUGGGUGUCAGCCACCGGGGUUUA
rnacentral:lncRNA from 1 species